rnacentral:lncRNA from 1 species
UGGCCAGAAUGUCCUUGGCUCCUUGGCAGUAAUUGUCAAACCAGGAUGGGAGCAGUCAGUCCUUCCACUCCCCCAGCCUGGGCCAAGCAAGGCAGGUUUCCAUCUGCUUGUGACCUCUUGUCACACACAGAGAGGGUGGAGAGGCUUCUCUCACAUGGCAGCUCUUGUGGGGAGCUCUCAUUGUUUUUGCAACAUCAGGGUUGGUGAUGGUGUCUGAAGGAUAGCUGAAAUCCCAAGCCCUGAGUUCAGGCAGUCCUGGGGUUGGUUAUUCCAGCAGUUGGAUGACAUUUUCUAAGACCUAGGUUCCUUUCAUAUUUCCUUUCUGCCAUCCUCAGUGUCUGGGUUGGCUCUCCUCAUGGGAUCAGGAUGGCUGCAGUCACUCCAGGCAUCACAUCUUCAUUUGCUGAAAUUCAGAGACAGCAAAGGAGAGCCAUAUGGUCCCUAUGUCUCAUUUUCCAAUAUAAAAUUUUUUUUCCAAAGCCCACCCGCUCUCUCUUCUACAAAAAGCCUUUCCUUUCAUCCUCAUUGGUCAGAAUGGCAACAGGACCUAUCCUAAGCAAAUUGCGGGCAACAGGAAUGAUUGAUUUUAUGGUUGAUAUUAAUUUCUCUUAAAGCUGGGGAUAGGGUAGCCUUUUCUGAAUACAAAACCCAAGAUUCCCAUCCAUCCCAGGAUUUCUAAUCAGUUAAGGCAUCUCUUGGGAAGAACUCCAUGGAGGGGACUAGUGGGCUGAUACACCUGAGAAAGGCUCCAGGAGAGAGAGCCAGUGUCAGAUAAAAGGGGGAUUCUGGGAUGGCACAGCAUUAGACACUCAGAUAAUCCCUGGGCUCUUUGACUCCUGUGUUCCUUAUGUGCAAGAGCAGACACUGAGGAGCCAGGCCCCCGAAAUAUCUGCAGGACAUUGAGAAUGGGGCGGACCCAGGUGGGGUC